rnacentral:rRNA from 1 species
UACGAGGGGGGCGAGCGUUGUUCGGAAUUAUUGGGCGUAAAGGGUGCGUAGGCGGUUCCGCAAGUCCUGUGUGAAAUCUUCGGGCUCAACUCGAAGUCUGCACGGGAAACUGCGGGGCUUGAGUGUGGGAGAGGUGAGUGGAAUUCCCGGUGUAGUGGUGGAAUGCGUAGAUAUCGGGAGGAACACCAGUGGCGAAGGCGGUUGCCUGGAGCUUUGCUGACGCUGAUGCGCGAAAGCGUGGGGAGCGAUCCGG